AUGGAGGACUACCCGGAGGAGCUGCGGACGCCGCCGGUGUCGCUGGUGUCCAUCGUGGGGUGCCCGGAGAUGCACGCCACGAUCUCGGCGGCGCUCAGCUCCCAGCAGCCGCCCAUGAGCACGCUGGCCCUCCCGGACUUCGCCAAGGCCAACAUCCUCUCCCGCACCGCCAAGAGCCGCGACCCGCUCGCGCCGCCGCAGGCCGCCACGGGGAUCCUCAAGAAGGACUGGCUCCUCAAGCACCGGACGCGGGUGCCCGCCGCCGUCGCCGCCAUGUUCCGGGCCGAUCAGGUCACCGGCGACCCCGCCCAGUGGCUCCAGGCCUGCUCCGAUCUCGAGAACCUCAAGUCUAUAAUCCAGGGAAGACAUAGUAAAUUGGUGGUGAUCCUUGUACAGACUCAAGCUGGUGAUGAGCUGGGUGAGGAAGUUAUGGUUGCCCUGAGAAAACGUGCGGAGAUUGAUUCUAAGCACCUAAUUGUGUUGGUUGAGAGUGAUGAAGCAGAACGGAACGCAUCUCUCCUCAAAUUGAGGACUAUUUUUGCGGAGCUGUGUUCCACAUACUAUAAGGAGGAAGGGCGAAGGAUAAAAGCCCGCAUUGAGAAGAGGAACUUCUCUUCUGUGGAGCUGAGUGUCCGCUACUGCUUCAAGGUUGCUGUUUAUGCGGAGUUUAGACGGGAUUGGCCAGAAGCAUUGAAGUUCUACGAGGAAGGAGUUCGUGUUUUGCGUGAGAUGAUUGGGACUUCAACAAGGUUGCCUCCAACCCAACGCCUAGUUGAGAUAAAAGCAGUCGCCGAUCAAUUUCACUUUAAGAUAUCAACAUUGCUACUUCAUGCUGGGAAGGUCGUAGAAGCAAUCACAUGGUUCCGUAAACAUAUCCGAAGCUUUGAGCGUGUUGUUGGAUCACCAGAAGUUGCUUUUCUUCAUUGGGAAUGGUUUAGCAGGCAGUUCCUUGUCUUUGGUGAGCUAAUAGAGACAACAUCAACAACUGUUCCAGAUACAAUAUCCCCUCGGUUUGGUACUGCUGACAAUGCAUUGACUGAGUGGGAAUUUCAGCCAGCUUACUACUACCAGUUAGCGGCAAAUUACCUCCGAGAGAAGAGGUGUGCUUUAGAGUGCCCUUCGUCAAGGGCAAAUCUUACCGGUGAUAGCGAAAUACCUGACUCAGUAAUGUCUUCUGUAUAUGUUGGCCAGUAUGUCCGCCUGUUUGAGGAAGGAGAUACCAUUUCUGUGCUUCCCCUUUCUGAUGCAGAAUAUACCAGUUAUGCUUUGUCAGAAGCUGAAAGGUUUCAAGAUUCGUACGAGAUAAUUGCAUUGUUUAGAAAAGCUUAUGAAUCAUUUCUGAGUCUAGGGGCUACGAGAAUGGCUUCUUCCUGUAGUGCUGGAAUGGCUAUAGAAUAUUAUGCAGCUGGGGAAUUUGGUAACGCAAAAAAACUUUUUGAUGGCGUCGCUGGUCUAUACCGUCAGGAGGGCUGGACUACUUUGCUUUGGGAAAACCUGGGUUACUUGAGAGAAUGCUCAAGGAAACUUAAUUCUCUGGUGAAUUUUAUCAGCUAUUCACUAGAGAUGGCUGCAUUACCGUUAUUCUCUGGCAGUGUACAGGGCAACUCUGAAAAUAAAAGUAAUGGACCAGCAGGUUGGCCUACCAUUUCCAGGAGAGAGGAAAUACAGCAAGAAGUUGUCAAUAUUCUUGAAGGAAAACAUACAUCCCAAGUUAUGGAUGAUGAAUUUAAUCUUCAAUUGACGGAAGAAUCUACUCAACUAGUUAUUGAUCAAAUAAGUCCUCUAAGAAUAGUGCUUGUUGCAUCUGUUGCUUUUCAUGACCAAUCUGUAAAACCUGGCUCACCUCUGCUUGUCAGCGUGUCAUUGUUGUCUCAUCUUCCUUCUCCAGUUGCAAUUGAUCAAUUGGAGGUUCGGUUCAACCAAUCUGACUGUAACUUUGUCAUGGUUAGUGCACAGGAAGAUUCUUCUACGUUGAAUUCAGAUGUUCAUGGCCAAGUUGUCCAUUCUACUUCUCUUACAUUGUUCAGCAAUAAAUGGAUGCGGUUGACGCAUGAAGUUAAAUCAGGACAAAGUGGAAAGUUGGAAUGUUUAUCGGUGAAGGCAAUAAUAAAUAAGCACCUUGUGGUUUGCUGCCAGGCUGAAAGUCCUGCUUCAAUGGAAGACUUCCCGCUGUGGAAAUUUGAGGAUCAAGUGGAGACAUUGCCUACAAAGGAUGCUGCACUUGCCUUUUCCGGGCAGAAACUGAUUCAAGUCGAAGAGCCAGACACUCAAGUUGACCUUGUCUUAGAUUCUACUGGCCCUGCGCUGGUUGGAGAGUUGUUUGUUGUCCCAGUAACCAUAUUAUCAAAAGGGCACGCAGUUCAUUCUGGUGAGCUGAAAAUUAAUCUCGUCGAUGCCAAAGGCGGUGGUCUUCUGAUGAGUCCAGGGGAAGCAGACGAAUCUGAAAGCCAUCACGUUGAACUUCUUGGUGUUUCAACUGCAACUGGGGAUGAAGUGUCGAAGGAAGAAGUCGAUAACAUUAAAAAGAUCCAAUAUUCAUUUGGGGUCGUAUCAGUUCCCACGUUAGUUGCGGGUGAUUCCUGGUCCUGCAAAUUGGAAAUUAAAUGGCAUGGAGCAAAGUCACUCAUGCUCUACGUUUCACUUGGCUAUUCUCUAGACUCCAGUGGAGAUGCAUCACUACACAGACUUAACGUGCACAGAAGCUUGCAAGUUGAAGGAAAGAUACCCAUGAUAGUUGGUCACCAGUUUUUGAGACCAUUUAGGCGAGAACCCUUGUUGCUAUCUAGGAUCAGAUCCUCAAGCGGCGAUGAUAAAAAAGAUUCACUUGCUAUGAACGAGUCCAAUAUGCUUAUUGUGAGUGCUAGAAAUUGCACCGAGGUCCCUUUGCGUUUGCACUCGAUAGCCAUUGAAUCUGAUGGUGAUGGGAAGCAGCUGUGCUCAGUUGAACAAAUCAGCGGACUAUCUGAUGAAUACGCGGUUGUUGCUCCUAGCGCAGAAUACAAAGCAAUAUUUUCAGUCAAUCCAAGGGCCAGCAAUCCGGACUUUUAUUUAGGUGAACUUUGCCUGAACUGGUCAAGAGAUUUAGUCCUUGGAGAGAAUCAAGAUAGCCGUGUUACAAUGAAGCAAAGAUUACCUGAGGUUCAUAUUGAGGAGCCGCCGCUUGUCAUGAGCAUCGAGUGCCCUCCCUACGCUAUCCUCGGGACCCCGUUCACUUUCUAUGUGAAGAUCCACAACUCAACAUCCUUGCUUCAGGAAAUCAAGUACUCUCUUGUUGAUUCCCAGAACUUUGUUUUCUCUGGGGCUCACAAUCAUGCUGCAUUCAUUCUGCCGAAAACCGAGCAUACCCUUAGUCACAAGCUCGUGCCGCUUGGUUCCGGUUCCCAGCAGCUGCCGAGGAUAACAGUAGCUUCGGUGAGGUACUCUGCUGCAUUGACUCCUCCAACCUCGGCCACAUCCGUCUUUGUCUAUCCCAGCGAGCCCAAAUUCAACCUGGAAAAGAGCCACCCCAUGUCUGAUGAAUGUGUGAGCUAG
rnacentral:rRNA from 1 species